rnacentral:lncRNA from 1 species
GUUUCGUGAAGAAGUCAAGAUUAAUGCGAUUCAACUUGUCACGUUUAACGGAAAGCUGUGGAUGUUUCAUUUAUUUUAUUUGUUUGACAGAGAGACAGUGUGAGAGAGAACACAAGCACCGGGAGUGGGAGAAGGAGACACAAACCUCCCCCAGAGCAGGGAAACCGAUGGGCAACUGGAUCCCUGGACCCUUGGGAUCCUGACCUGAGCCGAAGGAAGCCGCUUCACUGACUGAGAUACCAGAGUGUUUAAAGAUGUUGCUGGUGAACUGGAAGAGGCAGGCAAGGAGAGGUCAAACCAAAGACGUUUCUUCUUAAAUUUGGAACAUGCGGCAACUGUUUUAUGAAGAAAACUUUUAAGAGGUACUCGGAAAUACACACAUACAUAUACGCAAGAGAAAGAAAAUAAAAAUUUUUUAACAAGGAUAGCUUUUAGAUUUUAUAUAUUUUUGAGAGAGAGAGAGAGAAAGUGCACGUGCAGGAGCUGGGCCAGGGUGGGAGGGGUG